AGCUCUAUGAAUUAAAUCUUAUAAUAUCAAAAUCAAUCUAUACUUAACCAUUUCAAUUCUUUUCCUCUCAUUUCUUUUUCAAUACUUUACUUUACCAGUUCAACGUAUGGUAAGACAAUUAAGUAAGAUUGAUUUCCAUUUUUCCAAGUAAGUCUGUUUUGAUUUCCUUCAUCAGAGGGUAAAAUGCUUCCUUUCUUUCUCCAAGUAACACCUCAUGCUUAUUGCAUGCUACAACCACCUGCAAGCACUCCACGUCCCUAUUGCUGCAUGAUCAACACCUUGCUGCACGUUGCUUCUUCCACCACCAGCUUUUCAAGCCAUGACAAAGCAAGCCUAAUGUCUUAGCAUUCCACCUCCUCCUUACACAUGAUUAGGCGUGGCACUUGCUGAUGAUCCCUCCACUCCAAAGCUUGAAACUUUCACGUCUCUAUAUAUAUAUAUAUAGAUGCAACAAAAUGGUUCAAGGAUAAUACACACACAAAACAUUAAAAGUCAUAUUACUGACAAAAACACUAGUCGUGAGUGGAUGGGUUUUUAGUGAAAAUUCUUAAGUGUUGGUCUUGAGUGUGAGGAGAUUCUUGAGUCUUGGGGAGCGGAAGCUAGAAUCUAGAAGCAUAGCAUUUCUGAAUGCGAUUAAUUUUCUGAGAUUUGAAAGGUCACGAGGUUCGCAACUUCUAUGCACUACUACUCACGAAGAAAGCCAAAUGAGAUUGCCAAGGCACCAUGAAGGGGAAAAGAUACAAGUGGAGUGUCUUAGUAGCAGAGGAGUGGGCUAACAAAUAUACUUAAGGACCCAAAUUCAUCUGACUCGCUAGACAUGGUCCACAAAUGUAAUAUACUACAAUAUACUAACGGUAAAGCAACAAGAUGAGACUAAAACAGUAACUUAAAAGGAUAAGGAUUGACUAAGCAUAGCUAGUUAGUUCUAGUCCACUAGAGAAUUGACUAAAUUGGGAAUUGGAGCAAAUAACAUAGAAUUCUGCCACAUUCCGGGAAGAAGCUCCGCAAGCCAGUUAUUUUGUGAUCAUCACGACGAUUCUCACCAUCACCUCCAAGGCUCCAACAGCUAGUGGUUUUCAAGGCAUCACGAGAGGAAGGGGAGAAAUUCGAAAGGUGGCCUUGUGAAUUUUAUCUAAAUCCACAUGCUAUUAUUAGAUUUGAGUCCACUACCAAUAUCUGGGCUGUACAUAAACAACAUUUCACAUUUUGACCCAAAAAGAAAAAAGAAGGCUUCUGUGGGGUAAGAAUUACAGCUCAAGAAUAGUUGAGUUAUUUGUUGGAACAUGUUGCCAUGCAUUUUGUCUAAACAACCGAUUGUCGAAGCAGAUGCCGUGGCAUCUGACCUCGUGAAGCUAGGGCAUCAGUCCUCAGCUUGUGUUUAUGUUGUGGGCCCUCUGAAGAUUUACUGAAGAUAUGUUUUUGAGUUACUUGAGGAGCAAGUAGCUAUUCCAGAAGGGUUUAUUUGUUGGGUUGUUAUUUGUUGAAACAAUCUUUGUUAAAAGAUUGGUUUCUAUCUUUACUUGUGCAAUAAAAAACCGAAUCUAUCAAGAUUGCGUUUUGAAUUGCUGUUACUGCAAUCUGUUUCUUCAGCCCGUGCCAACCCUAAAGCCCAUGCUACCGUUGCUGAAGUCUAUAAAAGGAUGAAGACCUAAAACGUGAAGGCGUCGAAGCUGAUAGAGAGAGAUCGUGUGUUUUAGGAUCUGUUAAUUGUGCUUUGUCCUUUGUUAGUUGUGAAUCUGUCUUUGCUCACUGAUUCUAUAAAGCAAAGAGAGAUUCUGUGUUGUUUGAUUGCGUUCAAACUCUACUUGUUCAUUGUGUUUACCAAUCACUGUGGCAGUGAUUGAGAGAAAUUGAGAGGAGCUCUCAUACUUAGGUUGAGAUUCUAAGUAGAAAUACACUGGGUAGAUUAGGAAGUGAACUAUGAACUGAGUUGUUCAUGAGUGUCUGUAAUUCCUGAAUCUUGAGAUAAUGGAUUUCCUUUC